rnacentral:lncRNA from 1 species
UCCACUACCAUAGACGUCCCUCCUCCAGCUCCCACAGAGUAGGAGUGUAUCUGGACUGGUCAGCCGGCACUCUGUCCUUCUAUAGAGCCUCCUCUGACACACUGACCCACCUGAUCACAUUCACCUCCACAUUCACUGAGCCCCUCUAUCCAGGGUUUGGGGUUGAUUAUGAAUCCUCAGUGUCCCUGAAAUAAUAACUGGACACACACACACACACACACACACACACACACACACACACACACACACACACACACACACACACACACACACACACACACACACACACUGGACACAGACACACACACACACACAAACUGGACACACGCACACACUGGACACAGACACACACACACACUGGACACAGACACACACACACACUGGACACACACACACACACACACAGGACACACACACACACACCAACACACUGGACACACACACACACACUGGACACACACACACACUGAACAUACACACAGGACACACACACACACACUGGAUAUACACACACUCAACACACACACACACACACUGGAAACAAAUUGGACACACACACACUGGACACAAAAUGCACACACACUCACAGACAUUCUGGACACACACACACACACACUGGACACAAACUGGACACACACAUAAACAUACACUCAACACACACACACACUGAACACACACACAAACACUGGGCACAUACUCACACACACACACACACACACACACUCUGGACAUACACACACACACUUGACACAGACACUGGACACACACACACGCACUGGACAGGUCCCCCUCUCCAUGUAAUCUGAUUCAUUAUGAUAUAGGAUCAGGUCCCCCCUCUCCAUGUAAUCUGAUUCAUUAUGAUCUAGGAUCAGGUCCCCCCUCUCCAUGUAAUCUGAUUCAUUAUGAUCUAGGAUCAGGUCCCCCCUCUCCAUGUAAUCUGAUUCAUUAUGAUCUAGGAUCAGGUCCCCCCUCUCCAUGUAAUCUGAUUCAUUAUGAUCUAGGAUCAGGUCCCCCCUCUCCAUUUAAUCUGAUUCAUUAUGAUCUAGGAUCAGGUCCCCCCUCUCCAUUUAAUCUGAUUCAUUAUGAUCUAGGAUCAGGUCCCUCCUCUCCAUGUAAUCUGAUUCAUUAUGGUCUAGGAUCAGGUCCCCCCUCUCCAUGUAAUCUGAUACACGUACAUACAUACAUACACACUGUAUAUAUACACGUACAUACAUACAUACACACUGUAUAUAUACACGUACAUACAUACAUACACACUGUAUAUAUAUACACGUACAUACACACUGUAUAUAUAUACACGUACAUACAUACAUACACACUGUAUAUAUAUACACGUACAUACAUACAUACACACUGUAUAUAUAUACACGUACAUACAUACAUACACACUGUAUAUAUAUACACAUACAUACAUACACACUGUAUAUAUAUACACAUACAUACAUACACACUGUAUAUAUAUACACAUACAUACAUACAUACACACUGUAUAUAUAUAUACACGUACAUACAUACAUACACACUGUAUAUAUAUACAUACACGUACAUACAUACAUACACACUGUAUAUAUAUACAUACACGUACAUACAUACAUACACGUACAUACAUACAUACACACUGUAUAUAUAUACAUACACGUACAUACAUACAUACACACUGUAUAUAUAUACAUACACGUACAUACAUACAUACAUACACACUGUAUAUAUAUACAUACGUGUACAUACAUACAUACAUACACACUGUAUAUAUAUACAUACAUACGUGGAGUGUAUCUCUGUGCACAAACAGAGUAAUGAGACCCUACUGUAAAUCAGCCAGACAGUAACACAUUAUAAACAUCGAUUUGUUUGGGAUGUUGGAUCCAACGUGGAGCACGGCAUAACUGUCUUUACCAGAGUAAUGAAUGAAGAAGCACUUUGGUUGUUGUUGCAU